rnacentral:rRNA from 1 species
AUGAACGCUAGCGGCAGGCCUAAUACAUGCAAGUCGAGGGAGAAGUCGUCUUCGGAUGAUGGGAACCGGCGAACGGGUGCGUAACACGUAUGCAAUCUGCCCCUGACUGGGGAAUAGCCCGGGGAAACUCGGAUUAAUACCCCAUAACGUUAUGAAAUGGCAUCAUUUUAUAACCAAAGUUCCGGCGGUCGGGGAUGAGCAUGCGGCCCAUUAGCUAGUUGGUGAGGUAAUGGCUCACCAAGGCAACGAUGGGUAGGGGGUCUGAGAGGAUGAUCCCCCACACUGGUACUGAGACACGGACCAGACUCCUACGGGAGGCAGCAGUAGGGAAUAUUGGGCAAUGGACGCAAGUCUGACCCAGCCAUGCCGCGUGCAGGAAGACAGCCCUAUGGGUCGUAAACUGCUUUUCUACGGGAAGAAACCCCCCGACGUGUCGAGGGCUGACGGUACCGUAGGAAUAAGGAUCGGCUAACUCCGU